UGGGGAAUAUUGCACAAUGGACGAAAGUCUGAUGCAGCAACGCCGCGUGGAGGAUGACACAUUUCGGUGCGUAAACUCCUUUUAUAUAGGAAGAUAAUGACGGUACUAUAUGAAUAAGCACCGGCUAACUCCGUGCCAGCAGCAGCGGUAAUACGGAGGGUGCAAGCGUUACUCGGAAUCACUGGGCGUAAAGAGCGUGUAGGCGGGUAUAUAAGUCAGAAGUGAAAUCCUAUAGCUUAACUAUAGAACUGCUUUUGAAACUGUAUACCUAGAAUGUGGGAGAGGUAGAUGGAAUUUCUGGUGUAGGGGUAAAAUCCGUAGAGAUCAGAAGGAAUACCGAUUGCGAAGGCGAUCUACUGGAACAUUAUUGACGCUGAGACGCGAAAGCGUGGGGAGCAAACA
rnacentral:rRNA from 1 species